rnacentral:lncRNA from 1 species
GCAUUGUACGUGUUCAUACCUAUGUGUGUGCAUGUGUGUACAUGUGUAGGAGUGUGCACAUGUGCAUGGGCAUGUGGGCAUGUGAGGACGUGCAUGUGCAGAAGUGUGUGCACGUGUAUGGAUAUGUGUGCUUGUGUGUGCAUGUACAGGGUGUUGUAUGUGUUCGUUUGUGUGUGUAAAUGUGGAGUGCACAUGUGCAUGUGUGUGCACCGUGUGAUGGGUGUAUGUUCGUGUGGAGCAGACACCCAUGCUGGCCUGCCGGGGCUGCCUGCAGAUGGUGUGGGAGACGCUGGGGCCACCCACCACGGCUGGGCUGAGCUGCUCAAGGGAGGCUGACUGAGGGGCUGCUCUCUGCCCAUCAGUGUGGGUGGGUCAGUUUGUCUGUGGCUUCUGGAAUUCCUGUGAGGAACCGAGAGGGACUGAGAGCCAGCCCUGGCUGGAAGGGGUCUCUCCCUGAGCAGCCUCUUGGGGCAGCACUAGGGUGGGCAGAACUUGGGAGCUCCCUGGUGGUCUGAGGUGUGGCCGGGAAGGCAGGGCUGAGACCAGCCGGGUGCCCCUGCCCACCCACUCCUGGCGUGGUGUCGGCUCUGCACAGAGUGCACACGCACCUGUGUCCUCCUUUCCCUGACAUGAAAGAUGCAUUUGCCCAGGUUCAAAAAGGGCUUGUGGAAGUCUUGAAGCAGCUGGGCAAGGUGGUGCCUGGAAGCCUGAGAUCCUGCCGGCUGGACCAAAUGCGUUGUCCACAACUACAGCCGCUGAUGAGUGUCUGGCUGCUCACCUGUCCCCUAGGGGCCCCGCUGAGCCCCCAGGCUGCAUCCCCUGGCCCGCCACGGAGAGGACUCCACCCCACCCUCAUUUCCCAGGGGAGGAGCCGGGCCUCUGGGACUUGCGGAGGGGCCUGCAAGUGAGGACCGUGGCUACCAGGGACCUGGCGGCUGCAGAUGCUUUGUGGGAGGCCUGUGUGCAGCCCUUCGUCCUGCCCGGAGCUGGGACCUACUAAGCAGUGGAGUUCAGCAGGGCUGGGUGGAGCUGCAUCUCCCUCCUGGGGUGCCCACCCACCCCUCUGUGCUCUCACGCUCACAAGGGGCCUGGAGGUCCCAGUUGCUAGGGGGCCCUCUAUUCCUGGGUCCCAGAUGAUGGAAACGCAAUGUUAAAAAUGUUCACCAGACCAACCUGUACUGGCUGCAAUUCUCAAUAAAGCAGUUGAGGGACACACCCA